CAGUCGCCGCGGGAAUACGAAGGGUGCAAGCGUUACUCGGAAUUACUGGGCGUAAAGCGUGUGUAGGUGGUUGUUUAAGUCUGUCGUGAGAGCCCUGGGCUCAACCUGGGAAUUGCGAUGGAUACUGGGCGACUAGAGUGCGGUAGAGGAUAGUGGAAUUUCCGGUGUAGCAGUGAAAUGCGUAGAGAUCGGAAGGAACAUCUGUGGCGAAGGCGACUAUCUGGGCCAACACUGACACUGAGACACGAAAGCGUGGGGAGCAAACAGGAUUAGAUACCCCCGUAGUCCCUGUCUCUUAUAA
rnacentral:rRNA from 1 species